rnacentral:lncRNA from 1 species
AAUAAUAAUAAUAUCAGAGAUCCAAAACAUAAUAAAAAUAUUAAUCAAAAUACACUCCAAAAAUAAGAACUAAACAAGUGUCCCACUUCCAUCAUGAGAAGGAUGAUAAUACAGGAAAAAGUUGAUCAAUUCAAAGUUUGUUUAUAUUUUCCACCACCUGGUUUACAACUCCACAACUUUAAUUACCAGUACUGUAUCACUUUCCUGCAAAUUAUUCAAACUUUUUAGUAAAUCAGGAUAUGACCAAUAAGUAGUGGUGCACUUUUAAGACUGGUUAAAAGCUCGAACAAGCCGAGCCUGAAAUACAACUCGUUUAGUUAUCGAUGAUUAUAACCCAAUCCUAAAAUACAACUCGUUUAGUAAACAUAAAACAAAAAUUAACGUACUCUCACUGUGUCUCGUUUUAGUCAUUGUACAUUUGAAAUAUUAAAAUAUUGUUCUUGUCUGGUUGCGGUUAUCUUAUGAUGACCCCAACCGGACAAGAAUUUCUACAACAUAUUCACAUUUGUACAUUUGUAUUUAAUAAAAUAAAAACUAUUUUUUAUAAUUUAUACCGUAGCCCAUAUCAACCCAUUCACAGAUAAAAAGUUCAACGGAUAAAAGUAUGAUGGGGGUGGAGACGUACAAGAGCAAAUUAAAAACCCUGUUCGAGGAGAUAGUCACCGAGCCGUUCAACAAUCAUGUUGCAUUGGCCUGGAGUCAUGGGUUCAUCAUAAAUACCAAUGAUCAAGGACAUUGUUGUCUUUUUAAUAGUAGCACCUCCUGGUCCCUGAAGUUGACAAGAAUAUAACCAGUUAUAAUAUAUAACGCCGCUAAUAGCGGAACCGCUAUAGGCCACCGCUAUUUGGACCGCUACACACCCAGAGGUCCGCUAACCGCUAUAGCACCGCUAUUGACUGCUUAGCAGGUCAGACAUGAAACGAUAAGACAUGACACGACACGAUCAGGGACGGAUCUAGGCCACUUUUGUGGGUUCCCAGGAACCCAUUCGGUUUGGAAAAAAUUAGUGAGAACCUUGUAUGAUUAGGAAAAAAAUAGUGAGAAUUAGUGAGAAUCUAACAAAAGAAACCCAGUGAAAAAAGUUCUUAGAUCCGCCACUGGACACGAUGACCUGAGAUGCUAGACAUGAACACGAACACAAUAACUUAUCGUGUCAUCUUUCCAGACGAAACGAACACGGCCUGUUUAGAAACAUGUCAACAUGAAACAACCUGUUAACAAACUUGUUUAGGGACACGCAAAAUAUCACACAUUUCGGAACCUGAUUAGUGAAACAAAAAUUGCCAAAAGUUUAUAAAAGUCUUAACUAAUACAUAAUCCUUAACAUAUUAAUCCUUAGCAAAUUUAAAAUAAAAAUCCAUAAAAGCCAAAUCAUAACAUCCAUACAGAUAUAAAAAGGUCGCAAACAGAUCGCUAACAAGUUAACAGGUCUUUAACAUGUUUAGACAUGAAUUUUAUCUUGUUCUAAACGUGUUGACCUGUUUAAGACACGAAACCUGUUAAGCCCAAACACGAAACUUAUUAAAAAUGUGUCGUGUUAACAGGCCCGUGUCUGAAAUUGCCAGCCCUAAUGUAUGUAUUUAUGUAUAGAUAUGUGUAUGUAUACAUAUAUGUAUGCAUGUAUGUAGAGUAUUAUUAAAAUGUUAAGAUUUCAAAAGAAUAUAUCACACGUGCACGCACAUAUACAUAUACACACACACAAUUAGCCCAAAUAGUUAUGCACUUGCGUAUCGGCAUAUACCCAUUGGAUAUUAUAAAAUAAAAAAAAUAGAUUCGUCACCUUUUUCCCUCUAAUCACAGCCCCAGCCUCGCCUUGAAUAACCAUAUACUUGGUACCACCAAGGUAUAAACCGGUUGGUGCAAGAGAACCAGGUUCAUUGAAGUCAUUCAUGAUAGCAGUUAUUUCCUCUGGCUUGACCUGCAUUGGACCUGAGGGAAGGUGGCUGAUUGGGCCCAAACGACGCCGUCGUGACCGAUAAUCGCGGCGGCAGUGAGGUGAUUUCCUUCGAUCUCGCACAUCAAGUGGUCAUCCACGUACGCUUGCCACGACAUCGUGUUCCGAUUGAGUAGAAAGAAUGAAAGAAACGGUACAAGU